rnacentral:rRNA from 1 species
AUGAAUGCUCCAGCCAACAGCACUGAAUGGGCGGACCUAAUUGUCAAGGAGAUGUCGUCCGCUUCGGAUCUGAACGACGCCAGGAAUCGAGCCUUCAGGAUACUUGAAAUGUUCGGCAAAUCUACCGCAAACUGCAGUACUCCUAAUGAAGCGCAGAAAAUGCGCGAGGAGAACAAGAUACUGAAGCAGAUGCUGGGAGGCCUGCUUCAGCAGUCCAGCAUCCUGAAGCGAGCCGUCGUCAUCCAGCACAACCGGCUCAACGACUACAAGAACAUGGUGCAGGAGCGGUCCCAGUUCAAUGAGACCGUCGCCAAGUACCAGCAGCGGAUCAAGGAGCUGCAGGGGAUGAACGAUUUGCUGUCGUUCCAUCUCAGGAGGGCGAAUCAACAGAGUAGCAUAUCUGGGCGCCGCAACCCCGACGUCUUCUAG